GACGAACGCUGGCGGCGUGCUUAACACAUGCAAGUCGAACGGUAAGGCCCUUCGGGGUACACGAGUGGCGAACGGGUGAGUAACACGUGGGUGAUCUGCCCUGCACUUCGGGAUAAGCCUGGGAAACUGGGUCUAAUACCGGAUAGGACCACUGCCUGCAUGGGUGGUGGUGGAAAGCUUUUGCGGUGUGGGAUGGGCCCGCGGCCUAUCAGCUUGUUGGUGGGGUGAUGGCCCACCAAGGCGACGACGGGUAGCCGGCCUGGGAGGGUGACCGGCCACACUGGGACUGAGAUACGGCCCAGACUCCUACGGGAGGCAGCAGUGGGGAAUAUUGCACAAUGGGCGCAAGCCUGAUGCAGCGCCGCCGCGUGAGGGAUGACGGCCUUCGGGUUGUAAACCUCUUUCAGCACCGACGAAGCGCAAGUGACGGUAGGUGCAGAAGAAGGACCGGCCAACUACGUGCCAGCCGCCGCGGUAA
rnacentral:rRNA from 1 species